rnacentral:rRNA from 1 species
UACGUAGGGAGCAAGCGUUGUCCGGAAUCAUUGGGCGUAAAGAGCGUGUAGGCGGCCCGGUAAGUCCGCUGUGAAAGUCCAGGGCUCAACCCUGGAAUGCCGGUGGAAACUGUCGAGCUAGAGUCCGGAAGAGGCGAGUGGAAUUCCUGGUGUAGCGGUGAAAUGCGCAGAUAUCGGGAGGAACACCUAUGGCGAAGGCAGCUCGCUGGGACGUUACUGACGCUGAGACGCGAAAGCGUGGGGAGCAAACAGG